rnacentral:tRNA from 1 species
GCCAGAGUAGUUCAGUGGUAGAACGCCUCCAUGGUAAGGAGGAGGUCGCGGGUUCAAUUCCCGCCUCUGGCUC